rnacentral:rRNA from 1 species
GACGAACGCUGGCGGCGUGCUUAACACAUGCAAGUCGAACGGAAAGGCCCUGCUUUUGUGGGGUUCUCGAUUGGCAAACGGGUGAGUAACACGUGAGUAACCUGCCCUUGACUUUGGGAUAACUUCAGGAAACUUGUGCUAAUACCGGAUAUGAUCUCCUGCUUCAUGGUGUGGUUUGGAAAGUUUCGGCGGUUGGGGAUGGACUCGCUGCUUAUCAGCUUGUUUGUGGGGUAGUGGCUUACCAAGGCUUUGACGGGUAGCCGGCCUGAGAGGGUGACAGGCCAAAGUGGGACGGAGAUACGGACCAGACUCCUACGGGAGGCAGCAGUGGGGAAUAUUGCACAAUGGGCGGAAGCCUGAGGCAGAAACGCCGCGUGCGGGAUGACGGCCUUCGGGUUGUAAACCGCUUUCGACUGUGACGAAGAGUGAGUGACGGUAAUGGGUAAAGAAGCACCGGCUAACUACGUG